AAAUUGUGAUGGGGCAAAGUCUAAGCAUUCCUUUGAACCUAUCUCAUGCUUCAUAUAAUGAUUCACUUUCAUUUUGACGAAAGCUGGCUAUCAGAUUUCUCAUGU